rnacentral:tRNA from 1 species
AGAAUUUUAGUUAAUAAAUAUAAUAUUAGUUUGUCAAAUUAAAGUAAUUUAUGUAAAUAAAUUCUU